CCAAUGCCCCGAAAGCCCAAGGUUUCCUCCGCAAGGUUCGUCCACGGAGGGUGAGUCAGGGCCUAAGAUCAGGCCGAAAGGCGUAGUCGAUGGACAACAGGUCAAUAUUCCUGUACUACCCCUUGUUGGUACGGAGGGACGGAGGAGGCUAGGUUAGCCGAAAGAUGAGUAUAGGUUUAAGGACACAAGGUGACCCUGCUUUUUCAGGGUAAGAAGGGGUAGAGAAAAUGCCUCGAGCCGAGGUCCGAGUACCAAGCGCUGCAGCGCUGAAGUAUG
rnacentral:ncRNA from 1 species